ACGAACGCUGGCGGCGUGCUUAACACAUGCAAGUCGAACGGAAAGGCCCUGCUUUUGUGGGGUGCUCGAGUGGCGAACGGGUGAGUAACACGUGAGUAACCUGCCCUUGACUUUGGGAUAUCUUCAGGAAACUGGGGCUAAUACCGGAUAGGAGCUCCUGCUGCAUGGUGGGGGUUGGAAAGUUUCGGCGGUUGGGGAUGGACUCGCGGCUUAUCAGCUUGUUGGUGGGGUAGUGGCUUACCAAGGCUUUGACGGGUAGCCGGCCUGAGAGGGUGACCGGCCACAUUGGGACUGAGAUACGGCCCAGACUCCUACGGGAGGCAGCAGUGGGGAAUAUUGCACAAUGGGCGGAAGCCUGAUGCAGCAACGCCGCGUGCGGGAUGACGGCCUUCGGGUUGUAAACCGCUUUCGCCUGUGACGAAGCGUGAGUGACGGUAAUGGGUAAAGAAGCACCGGCUAACUACGUG
rnacentral:rRNA from 1 species